rnacentral:rRNA from 1 species
GUUUACCUACGGGAGGCAGCAGUGGGGGAUAUUGCACAAUGGGGGAACCCUGAUGCAGCGACGCCGCGUGGGUGAAGGAGCGUUUCGGCGCGUAAAGCCCUAUCGGCAGGGAAGAAGAUGACGGUACCUGGCCAAGAAGCCCCGGCUAACUACGUGCCAGCAGCCGCGGUAAUACGUAGGGGGCAAGCGUUAUCCGGCUUUACUGGGUGUAAAGGGGGCGCAGACGGCAAUGCAAGCCAGGCGUGAAAGCCCGGGGCCCCAACCCGGGACUGCUCUUGGAACUGCAUG